UACGAAGGGGGCUAGCGUUGCUCGGAUUUACUGGGCGUAAAGGGCGCGUAGGCGGCAAUUCAAGUCAUCUGUGAAAUCUCCGGGCUUAACCCGGAACGGUCAGGUGAUACUGUUUUGCUAGAGUGCGGAAGGGGCAAUCGGAAUUCUCGGUGUAGCGGUGAAAUGCGUAGAUAUCGAGAGGAACACCAGAGGUGAAGACGGGUUGCUGGGCCGACACUGACGCUGACAGCGCGAAAGCCAGGGGAGCAAACGGG
rnacentral:rRNA from 1 species